rnacentral:rRNA from 1 species
AUUGAACGCUGGCGGCAGGCUUAACACAUGCAAGUCGAGCGAGCGGCGGACGGGUGAGUAAUGUCUGGGAACCUGCCUGAUGGAGGGGGAUAACUACUGGAAACUGUAGCUAAUACCGCAUACCAUAAGAUGAGCCCAGAGGGGAUUAGGUAGUUGGUGGGGUAAGGGCGCACCAAGGCGACGAUCCCUUGCUGGUCUGAGAGGAUGACCAGCCACACUGGGACUUAGACACGGCCCAGACUCCUACGGUAGGCAGAAGUGGGGAAUAUUGCGCAAUGGGAGCAAGCCUGAUGCAGCCAUGCCGCGGGUGUGAAGAAGGCCUUCGGGUUGUAAAGUACUUUCAGCGAGGAGGCGUUACUCGCAGAAGAAGCACCGGCUAACUCCGUGCCAGCCGCCGCGGUAAUAC